UGUUUGUGAUGUGGACAGUCUUGUAGAAGAACCUUAAAGCAUUCCCAAGAAUAAUAAAGGUUUUCAUCUAGCUUUUGCUUAAAACUCACUAUCUCAUUGUGAAGUCU
rnacentral:snoRNA from 1 species